GAAAGACCUGCAACAUUGACUGGUAAAACAAAAACACAUAACCCAAACUCAUCCAGUGACCUUAGAUAACCGCAGAAUCAGGCAGCUCUGCAACAGGGCAGAAGACAACAUCCUCAUUCCCAGAGACUGACCAGAUGUCAGAUCUGUGGAAGUCAUCACAUCCAGACCAAGCCAUGUGAACACUCUCUCCAGUUGCUCUGUAAAUAAAUGAAAAAUAAAAGGAAAAUUCGAGGCAAGAGGAAAACUUUUUAUGAAGUCACCAUGCAAGCUAAUCUGCGAGGAGGAAAGACCUUACACCCUGACACUUCUCCAGAUUCAUUCUCAUACUAGUACCAACUAAAGGUUAACCGGAAUAAAAAAAGAUGGCAUUAGCUCAGAGUUCCUGGAUUUUUCUAGACAAGCUCCAGACUUAGUGCAUACACUGUCAUUGUAAGUGAGCACACAAACGACACUUGAAAACACAAAGAAUCUGCCCUUCCCCAGUUUCAGAAAAGAUCUUUCAAAAUCUUCCUCACAUCCUUAUUUUCCAGUUGCACUUUUGACUAUUAAGAGUUCCAUUCAUAAGAAAUAAAUAGAAGAAGCAGAACAAAGUAAGAAGUAUGCACAGAGUUGCUUGAGUAUGGAUUUUUGCAUUAUAUUAGGUAGAAUGAUGGUUUAAUUUAGUUUAGUUUUAGUUCUUUACUAUAGCUAUAGAUAAAGGAUAAGUAAAAAGUGAUUCUUAAAAUUAUUCAAGAAUAAUCCAACAGAAAAA